rnacentral:rRNA from 1 species
GGCCAUCCCGGCUUACCAACCCGAUGCAAACUGCGAAUACCGGAGAAUGUUAUCACGGGAGACACACGGCGGGUGCUAACGUCCGUCGUGAAGAGGGAAACAACCCAGACCGCCAGCUAAGGUCCCAAAGUCAUGGUUAAGUGGGAAACGAUGUGGGAAGGCCCAGACAGCCAGGAUGUUGGCUUAGAAGCAGCCAUCAUUUAAAGAAAGCGUAAUAGCUCACUGGUCGAGUCGGCCUGCGCGGAAGAUGUAACGGGGCUAAACCAU